CCUGCGGCGCAUUAGCUAGUUGGUGAGAUAGAAGCUCACCAAGGCGAUGAUGCGUAGCCGGACUGAGAGGUUGAUCGGCCACAUUGGGACUGAGACACUGCCCAGACUCCUACGGGAGGCUGCAGUCAAGAAUCUUCCUCAAUGGGCGAAAGCCUGAAGGAGCGACGCCGCGUGCAUGAAGAAGCUCUUCGGAGUGUAAAAUGCUUUUAUCAGUGAAGAAACAAUGACGGUAACUGAUGAAUAAGGGGCUGCUAACUUCGUGCCAGCAGCAGCGGUAAUACGAAGGCCCCAAGCGUUAUCCGGAUUUAUUGGGCGUAAAGCGUCCGUAGGUGGUUUGUCGCAUCUCCUGUUAAAUCUUGAGGCUUAACCUCGAGUCCGCGGGAGAGAUGGGCAAGCUGGAGACUGGAAGAGGCAAACGGAAUUGCUGGUGUAGGGGUUAAAUCCAUUAAUAUCAGCAAGAACAUCAAAUGCGAAGGCAGUUUGCUCGGACAGUUCUGACACUCAGUGGACGAAAGCGUGGGGAGCGAAUGGGAUUAGAUACCCCAGUAGUCCACGCCGUAAACGAUGGAUACUAAGCAUUGGAAGUAUCGACCCUCUCAGUGCUGUUAAUUUAAGGUAACCCGUUAAGUAUCCCGCCUGGGGAGUACGGCCGCAAGGCUAAAACUCAAAGGAAUAGACGGGGACCCGCACAAGCGGUGGAGCAUGUGGUUUAAUUCGAUGAUACGCGAGGAACCUUACCCGGGUUUGAAUUGCUGAAUUUGCAUUUGGAGACAUUUGCUUCCCUUUUGGGUUUCAGUGAAGGUGCUGCAUGGUUGUCGUCAGCUCGUGCCGUGAGGUGUCGGCUUAAGUGCCAUAACGAGCGCAACCCUUGCCGUUAGUUGCCAUCGGGUCAUGCCGGGCACUCUAUUGGGACUGCCAUCGUAAGAUGUGAGGAAGGUGGGGAGGACGUCAAAUCAGCACGGCCCUUAUGUCCGGGGCGACACACGUGUUACAAUGGGAGGUACAGAGGGCAGCUAUCCGGUGACGGAAUGCUAAUCUCCAAAACCUUUCUCAGUUCGGAUUGGAGUCUGCAACUCGACUCCAUGAAGGUGGAUUCGCUAGUAAUCGCGCAUCAGCCAUGGCGCGGUGAAUACGUUCCCGGGCCUUGCACUCACCGCCCGUCA
rnacentral:rRNA from 1 species